rnacentral:lncRNA from 1 species
CAUAAGGAUGUAUAGAAUCCUCUCAUGUUCCAAGAUGAUCUUCAACAUUCGAUACCAGCUAUCGAAGUUGGAUCCGAUGAGUUUGUCACUGUCCAAUAGCGAACAGAGUGAAGAGAAGGAAAUAGUUUCCCUCCAAAAUAUCCAGGUUGCAUCUAAAAUUUUUUUUAAUAUUCUACAUAUUUAAGGAUCAAAUUCUUACUUGAAUCAUAGUGGAAUCCGGAUCAAAUCCUAAAUUAUCUGAUAUAAACCUUUAUGGAGGAUUGGAUAUGCAGACCCUUUACUUUGCAUGCACGU